UGUUUUAAACUUUGCUAAAAAGCAUUGAGCUGUGAAUAACUAAUAUUACAUUGAUGAUUACGAAAUCGAAGAGAUUCUCAAUAUUUAUAAAAUGGGUUUCAAGAUAACUCACAAUCGCAAAAUUAUCGUAGCAUGGGUUACAAUGUUUAUAGUUGGACCAAUAGGAUUUCUUGGUGUUGUGCAGAAUGUUAAUGGUCAACGAAAAGAAAGAAUGUACUACAAAAGAGUCUUACAACAAGAAGAAAGACAAAAAGAAUUGGAAGGACAGAGAUGAAUGAUUGUGGCUGGCUGACAAUGUAUAGAGAUAAAGUUGAGGCUGACAAUGUAUUAUUUGUAUAUUAUGACUGGAAGUCAGUGGAAGGAUGUAUGAAUGGAAAUAAUUUAUUGUGAAAAAAACAUGACAAAUUAUAACUUGAAUCACUUUAUAGUUUAUAUAUAUGUUAUUGCAUGUCUUUUGUAGUAUGAAUAAUGAUAAAAGAAGUUGAACAUUUA